GUGUGUGAGUAUGUCUGUGAGUGUGUGUCUGUCGGAGUGUUGGUCUGAAUGUCUGUCUCUGUGUCUGUCUGUGAGUGAGUCUGAGUUGCUCAGUAAGUGUGUGUGUUCCCUCCAAUCACAUGGGAAAGGGUUUUGGGUUGUUUUUUUGUACUCACCUUUUUUCCAUGCUGUGGCUGGCCCCACCUCCAUGGCUGAAAUCCUCAAUCUUGACG